rnacentral:rRNA from 1 species
GGAGCUUGCUCCUCUGAUCAGUGGCGAACGGGUGAGUAACACGUGAGCAACCUGCCCCAGACUCUGGGAUAACAGUUGGAAACAGCUGCUAAUACCGAAUACGAGACGGAGAGGCAUCUCUACCGUCUGGAAAGUUUUUCGGUCUGGGAUGGACUCGUGGCCUAUCAGCUAGUUGGUGAGGUAAUGGCUCACCAAGGCGACGACGGGUAGCCGGCCUGAGAGGGCGACCGGCCACACUGGGACUGAGACACGGCCCAUACUCCUACGGGAGGCAGCAGUGGGGAAUAUUGCACAAUGGGCGAAAGCCUGAUGCAGCGACGCCGCGUGAGGGAUGACGGCCUUCGGGUUGUAAACCUCUUUCAGCAGGGAAGAAGCGAAAGUGACGGUACCUGCAGAAGAAGCACCGGCUAACUACGUGCCAGCAGCCGCGGUAAUACGUAGGGUGCGA